rnacentral:tRNA from 1 species
CCAGCUUCCCAAGCUGGCGACGCCGGUUCGACUCCGGUCACCCGCUCCA